rnacentral:rRNA from 1 species
GUAUUAGUUAUGUUCUUUAAACUUAAAGAAUUUGGCGGUAUUUUAUUCUUUCCAGAGGAACCUGUUCUUUAAUUGAUAAUCCACGAUUUUAUUUACUUGUAUUUGUAAUCAGUUUUUAUAUCUCCGUCAUAAGAAUAUUUUUAUAGUAUUAAUUUUCUUGAUUAUUAAAGAUUAAUAUGUCAGGUCAAGGUGAAAUUUAUAUAUAAGUAGAAAUGGGUUACAAUAAAUAUAUUUAUAUGAAUAAUUAAUAUUAUAAUUUGUUUGAAGGAGGAUUUGGGAGUAAAUUUAUUUAUUAAUUAUUUUGAUUUUAGCUCUAAAGUGUGCACACAUCGCCCG